AAAACCAAAAACCAGAGCAAGCUUCUUACAGAUACAGUUUCACACAUGUCAGCAACCUAUUGAGAGAGGAAAAACCCCCUCUGCAGAUGGCUGCUCCACUUCUUCUUUCCACGAAAGACAACGAUCAGACAGUUUGUACCUAGAUCAAAUAUAACAUGUUCCUUUGUCAAACAGAAAGUAUUCACACCCCAGAGGUCAAGCUUAAAGUUCUUCCCUACACCAAACUGUUUUUUUUUAUAUCUUUUGGUGAUAUGACAAUUUAGAACAAGUAUUGUCUUAAUCCUUACCAAAUGGUCUUUCAUGUAGAAUUGCCUUUUGCAAGCACAACUUACUCUCUGGCUGAAGCAACCAUAACAAAAGUUCAGAAUCAGUUUGCAGAUGUUCUUCUCUUCAGGAGUAAUAAUGUCUGGGCUAGCGAUAGCAUCAAUAAAUGCAGUUGCUGAUUUAAAUACUGAGUUACUGAGACUGUUGUUUAUAUAGAGGACAAGCAUCUGCAACGUUUUAUCUUCUGGUCCUAGAGAUCAGCUCUCAAUAGGGGAUCUAUGGUAAGGGUAUGUGUGUCGUGCAUUAUCACGAAUGACCAUUUUAAGGUUGUAUGAAUCUCAGCUUAAACACAGCAUUUCCACUCGGGCCUCAUUAUAGUCAUGGCACAGCCAAAAAGCUACAGUGUACACAUCCAUCACGGCCUAAAGUAUUCAAAUACCGUACUGUAUUCCCCUCUGUGUUGGAAUGUGGUGACAGUGAUGGCCAUUUCAAUAUAAUUAUUGUCAUAUUCACAAAAUCAUAUGAUCUCAAAACCAGUUGGAGAUGAGCUUUAUGACAAUGUGCAUAAAACAACCUCAAGAAGUUGAAUUUCCUUAAUGGUCCAACAUAAGAUGGGGUUGAGAGACAUCUAGUGGUGAAUAUGCAGUGUUGCAUCCAGCCAGCGUUAGACUGGCACAAAUACUGGAAUUUGGUUUGCAUUGUUUACUGGAUUUGAUUAGGCACAAAAAAGGUUUGCAGGAAAAAAACAGUACACAGAGUUUAUGUAGGUGUAUUUCUAUCUAUGUAUGUUCAGUAUAUUAUAAUGUUCUCAGUUACAAUUAUGUCUUCUGUUGUUUUCUAUUUUUGGUACAUAUUACUUUGCUCAUGUUAUGUCAGUUGAUAUAAUAUGUAGCAUUGUUUAUUAUUGAUUACAUUGAUAAUAUUGUUGGCAGAAUUGAUCAUACUCAAUGUCUGAAAUCUAUCUGGAAUUGUUUUUGCUUAAAAUAAUUCGAACUGAAACAAAAAUCUUAAAAUCACUGCAGUGUUCAUGUUUUUGUCAUGUCAAAACAACUACGAUAGUGAUAAUUGCUACCCACUGAUGAAUGCACACAAUAAAGAUAUCGGAAAUUCAUAGCAACUCUGUGACUUGGGACAAAUUAAAUAUCUGCAACAUUUAAAAGAACAGACAAAAUAAUGAAGACACAGCUGAUGAUGCCUUAGG